rnacentral:rRNA from 1 species
UACCUGCAGCCCAAGUGGUGCUCGUUAUUAUUGGGCCUAAAACGUCCGUAGUUGGCUGAGUAGAUGCCUGGGUAAAUCGCAGCGCUCAACGUUGCGAAUUCCGGGUAGACCGCUCGGCUAGGGAGUGGGAGAGGUGUGAGGUACUCUGAGGGUAGGGGUAAAAUCCUGUAAUCCUUGGGGGACCACCAGUGGCGAAGGCGUCACACUAGAACGCGUCCGACGAUCAGGGACGAAGCCCUGGGGCGCAAACGGG